GAUCAUGGCUCAGAUUGAACGCUGGCGGCAUGCUUUACACAUGCAAGUCGGGACGGCAGCUACAGAGAAGCUUGCUUCUUGGGUGGCGAGUGGCGAACGGGUGAGUAAUAUAUCGGAACGUACCGAGUAAUGGGGGAUAACCUAAUCGAAAGAUUAGCUAAUACCGCAUAUUCUCUGAGGAGGAAAGCUAGGGGUACCUUCGGUCCGUUGUCGUAUUCGGUAGCGGCCGGACUAUCUUGUAGUUAGGUACG
rnacentral:rRNA from 1 species